GUGUAUUGGACAACCAUGGCGGUCACGGGUAACGGAGAAUUAGGGUUCGAUCCGGAGAGGGAGCCUGAGAAACGGCUACCACAUCUACGGAAGGCAGCAGGCGCGUAAAUUACCCAAUCCCAAUUCGGGGAGGUAGUGACAAGAAAUAACAACUCGGGCGGCGCAAGCCGUUGCGAGAUUGCAAUGGGUACAAUUUAAAACACUUAACGAGUAACAAUUGGAGGGCAAGUCUGGUGCCAGCAGCCGCGGUAAUUCCAGCUCCAAUAGCGUAUAUUAAAGUUGUUGCAGUUAAAAAGCUCGUAGUCGAAAUUCUGGCUGGCUCUGUUUCCGGCUUCGGUCGACUCAGGACCUAGUCAUCCGUCGGAGAACCCUUGUCGUCCUUCACUGGUCGCUUGGGGGAACUGACCCUUUACUUUGAAAAAAUUAGAGUGUUUCAGGCAGGCUCUCGCCCGAAUACUCCAGCAUGGAAUAAUGGAAUAGGACUUUCUUCUAUUUUGUUGGUUAUUAGUAGAAAAUAAUGAUUAAUAGGGACAGUUGGGGGCAUUCGUACUUAAUUGUCAGAGGUGAAAUUCUUGGAUUUAUUAAAGACGAACUAAUGCGAAAGCAUUUGCCAAGGAUGUUUUCA
rnacentral:rRNA from 1 species